GAUGAACGCUGGCGGCGUGCCUAAUACAUGCAAGUCGAACGCAUAGCGAAAGGUGCUUGCACCUUUCAAGUGAGUGGCGAACGGGUGAGUAACACGUGGACAACCUGCCUCAAGGCUGGGGAUAACAUUUGGAAACAGAUGCUAAUACCGAAUAAAGCUUAGUGUCGCAUGACACAAAGUUAAAAGGCGCUUCGGCGUCACCUAGAGAUGGAUCCGCGGUGCAUUAGUUAGUUGGUGGGGUAAAGGCCUACCAAGACAAUGAUGCAUAGCCGAGUUGAGAGACUGAUCGGCCACAUUGGGACUGAGACACGGCCCAAACUCCUACGGGAGGCUGCAGUAGGGAAUCUUCCACAAUGGGCGAAAGCCUGAUGGAGCAACGCCGCGUGUGUGAUGAAGGCUUUCGGGUCGUAAAGCACUGUUGUAUGGGAAGAACAGCUAGAAUAGGAAAUGAUUUUAGUUUGACGGUACCAUACCAGAAAGGGACGGCUAAAUACGUG
rnacentral:rRNA from 1 species